AGCGAACGCUGGCGGCAGGCUUAACACAUGCAAGUCGAGCGGGCAUCCUUGUGGUGUCAGCGGCAGACGGGUGAGUAACGCGUGGGAACGUGCCCUUCGGUUCGGAAUAACUCAGGGAAACUUGAGCUAAUACCGGAUACGUGCGAGAGCAGAAAGGUUUAUCUGCCGAAGGAUCGGCCCGCGCCUGAUUAGCUAGUUGGUGAGGUUACGGCUCACCAAGGCGACGAUCAGUAGCUGGUCUGAGAGGAUGAUCAGCCACACUGGGACUGAGACACGGCCCAGACUCCUACGGGAGGCAGCAGUGGGGAAUAUUGGACAAUGGGGGCAACCCUGAUCCAGCCAUGCCGCGUGAGUGAUGACGGCCUUAGGGUUGUAAAGCUCUUUUCUCCGGGACGAUAAUGACGGUACCGGAGGAAUAAGCCCCGGCUAACUUCGUG
rnacentral:rRNA from 1 species